CAUGUAGGCGGUCUGUCAAGUCUGAUGUGAAAGCCCGGGGCUCAACCCCGGAAGUGCAUCGGAAACUGGCAGACUUGAGUACGGGAGAGGAAAGUGGAAUUUCGAGUGUAGGGGUGAAAUCCGUAGAUAUUCGAAGGAACACCAGUGGCGAAGGCGGCUUUCUGGACCGAUACUGACGCUGAGAUGCGAAAGCGUGGGGAGCAAACAGGAUUAGAUACCCAGGUAGUCC
rnacentral:rRNA from 1 species